rnacentral:rRNA from 1 species
UGAAUUGACGGGGCCGCACAAGCAGCGAGCAUGUGGUUUAAUUCGAAGCAACGCGAAGAACCUUACCAAGGCUUGACAUCCCCUGACAGCUGUCGAAAGGCAGUGUCCCUUCGGGCAGGGAGACAGGUGGUGCAUGGUUGUCGUCAGCUCGUGUCGUGAGAUGUUGGGUUAAGUCCCGCAACGAGCGCAACCCUUAUCCUUAGUUACCAGCGCGUUAAGGCGGGGACUCUAGGGAGACCGCCGGGGACGACUCGGAGGAAGUGGGGAUGACGUCAAAUCAUCAUGCCCCUUAUGACCUGGGCUACACACGUGCUACAAUGGGCGGUACAAAGGGUCGCGAACCCGCGAGGGGGAGCCAAUCCCAAAAAGCCGCUCUCAGUUCGGAUUGCAGGCUGCAACUCGCCUGCAUGAAGCCGGAAUCGCUAGUAAUCGCGGAUCAGCAUGCCGCGGUGAAUACGUUCCCGGGCCUU